GACGAACGCUGGCGGCGUGCUUAACACAUGCAAGUCGAACGGAAAGGCCCUGCUUGCAGGGUACUCGAGUGGCGAACGGGUGAGUAACACGUGGGUGAUCUGCCCUGCACUUCGGGAUAAGCCUGGGAAACUGGGUCUAAUACCGGAUAGGAGCCAUUUUUAGUGUGAUGGUUGGAAAGUUUUUUUCGGUGUAGGAUGAGCUCGCGGCCUAUCAGCUUGUUGGUGGGGUAAUGGCCUACCAAGGCGGCGACGGGUAGCCGGCCUGAGAGGGUGGACGGCCACAUUGGGACUGAGAUACGGACCAGACUCCUACGGGAGGCAGCAGUGGGGAAUAUUGCACAAUGGGCGCAAGCCUGAUGCAGCGACGCCGCGUGGGGGAUGACGGCCUUCGGGUUGUAAACUCCUUUCGCUAGGGACGAAGCUUUUUGUGACGGUACCUAGAUAAGAAGCACCGGCUAACUACGUG
rnacentral:rRNA from 1 species